ACACUCCUGCGGGAGGCAGCAGUGGGGAAUAUUGCACAAUGGGCGCAAGCCUGAUGCAGCCAUGCCGCGUGUAUGAAGAAGGCCUUCGGGUUGUAAAGUACUUUCAGCGGGGAGGAAGGCAAUACGGUUAAUAACCGUGUUGAUUGACGUUACCCGCAGAAGAAGCACCGGCUAACUCCGUGCCAGCAGCCGCGGUAAUACGGAGGGUGCAAGCGUUAAUCGGAAUUACUGGGCGUAAAGCGCACGCAGGCGGUCUGUCAAGUCGGAUGUGGAAUCCCCGGGCUCAACCUGGGAACUGCAUUCGAAACUGGCAGGCUUGAGUCUUGUAGAGGGGGGUAGAAUUCCAGGUGUAGCGGUGAAAUGCGUAGAGAUCUGGAGGAAUACCGGUGGCGAAGGCGGCCCCCUGGACAAAGACUGACGCUCAGGUGCGAAAGCGUGGGAGCAAACAGGAUUAGAUACCCCUGUAGUCCC
rnacentral:rRNA from 1 species